UGGGGAAUCUUGCGCAAUGGCCGAAAGGCUGACGCAGCGACGCCGCGUGGAGGAUGACGCCCUUCGGGGUGUAAACUCCUGUUGCCCGGGACGAAUACCCGUUUCGACGGGGGUGACGGUACCGGGUGAGGAAGCACCGGCUAACUCUGUGCCAGCAGCCGCGGUAAUACAGAGGGUGCGAGCGUUGUCCGGAAUCACUGGGCGUAAAGGGCGCGUAGGCGGCUGGGUAAGCGUGUGGUGAAAGCCCGGGGCUCAACCCCGGGUCGGCCAUGCGAACUGUGCAGCUGGAGCACGGUAGAGGCACAUGGAAUUCCGGGUGUAGCGGUGGAAUGCGUAGAGAUCCGGAAGAACACCGGUGGCGAAGGCGGUGUGCUGGGCCGUGGCUGACGCUGAGGCGCGACAGCGUGGGGAGCAAACA
rnacentral:rRNA from 1 species